rnacentral:rRNA from 1 species
UUCCGGUUGAUCCUGCCGGAGGACAUUGCUAUUGGGAUUCGAUUUAGCCAUGCUAGUCGAACGAGUUCACACUCGUGGCACAUAGCUCAGUAACACGUGGCCAAGCUACCCUUCAGUCGGCAAUACCCUCGGGAAACUGAGGCUAAUAGCCGAUACGAAACAGACGCUGGAAUGCACUGUAUUCCAAAGACACCGCUGAAGGAUGCGGCUGCGGCCGAUUAGGUAGACGGUGGGGUAACGGCCCACCGUGCCAGUAAUCGGUACGGGUGAUGAGAGUCAGAGCCCGGAGACGGAAUCUGAGACAAGAUUCCGGGCCCUACGGGGCGCAGCAGGCGCGAAACCUUUACACUGCACGAAAGUGCGAUAGGGGAAUCCCAAGUGCGAGGGCAUAUUAGCCCUCGCUUUUGUUGACUCUAAGGCGGUCAACGAAUAAGAGCUGGGCAAGACCGGUGCCAGCCGCCGCGGUAAUACCGGCAGCUCAAGUGAUGUCCCAUAUUAUUGGGCCUAAAGCGUCCGUAGCUGGCCGACCAAGUCCGUCGGGAAAUCCACCUGCCCAACAGGUGGGCGUCCGGCGGAAACUGGCCGGCUUGGAACCGGAAGGCUCAGAGAGUACGUCCGGGGUAGGAGUGAAAUCCUGUAAUCCCGGACGGACUACCGAUGGCGAAAGCACUCUGAGAAGACGGCUUCGACAGUGAGGGACGAAAGCUCGGGUCUCAAACCGGAUUAGAUACCCGGGUAGUCCGAGCCGUAA